rnacentral:lncRNA from 1 species
GCCGUGUCCUUGGGGCGGCUUCCAGUGUGGAGAAGGCCAGCCGACGCACAUUCCAAGGACGGAGGCGGGGUGAGGAGCCUCCGAUGGCCAGGUCUGGCUCGAGGGAGAGCGGAAACAGCAUUGGCUGUGAGCUGGAGAUUUGAUUUGGUUGCUAUGUUACUUGGUGCAAAGUGUGUGUGAUUAUUAUAAUGCCAUCUUGGAUUAUAACUUUUAUCAUCACGCUGUCUACCCUGUUCAAUGUUUUUGACUGAAGAUUAGCCCUGAGCUAACUGUGCCAGUCCUCCUCUUUUUUGCUGAGGAAGCCUGGCCCUGAGCUAACAUCCGUGCCCAUGUUCCUCUACUUUAUACGUGGGAUGCCUACCAUAGCAAGGCUUUUUGCCAAGUGGUGCCAUGUCCGCACCCAGGAUCCGAACCGGUGAACCCCGGGCCGCUGAGAAGUGGAACGUGCGAACUUAACUGUUGCACCACCGGGCCGGCCCCUCAGAGAGAUGUUUCUUUAUCCCAUGCCAUGGUUUCCUUCCCAGAAGAUCCUUCCAAACCCAAGAAACAGCCUAUAAAAUAUUAACAGGAGAUUCCACACAGCUGGAGCUGUCACUGGGUCAUGCUGAGUGAUGAAUUAGCCAGAACGCAGCUCUGGAAAUGCUGUCACUUUCCUCCAUUGCUGCAGGAGACAUGGAUGCGUCCCUACAUCAUUGAUGCUCCCAGUAACACUCGAGGUCGACAACAGAGCUCUGCGUACAGAUAACCCUCCUGAGGUGAGCCCUGGGACACUCGAGGGGCAGCAGAUACGCAUGGAGCUCCUCACAAAAGAGCGAUUCUCCUCCCCUGCUAUCGGCUAACCAUGGAACCCUGAAUCACUCCUUGGUUACAGGUUUCCUUUUUCUUUCCACCACUGUUCACACGACAUGUUUCUGUUUUUCUAGGUGGGACACUGGAACAGUGUGGGGAAGCUGUCUUAUCAUUUUCUCGGGAAGUCUGGAAUUAUCCCAAGGUGAGACAUGGUGUCUGGCUGAGCGAGCCACAGGUCCCCAUCUCCACGUCAGCAUGGAUAUGACUCAGUGCCAGGCAGGUUGUGCUUGUGGGUCAGGACACCCUCUCUCUGGAGCCUGCCUGGGCAGUCUCUAUUUCUGCCUUUUUAACCUUAAUGCUCUGGGUUUUCAUUCCCUGCUGUUCACAGCCCUUUGUGAAAGAGGGAACAAGAAAAAUGGUUAGGUUUCUGCUCAUUAAGCUACAAUCACAGUCGCUUCUCUCUGAGGUGGUACCCAGGGCACCUUGGGUAGAGUUCGGUGGCUCCUGUAUUCUCUGGUCAAAGUCUCUUGGUUCGGUCCUGUGGAUGGCCCAUCACAGUGUUUGUGGUGGUUUAAUCUCCAGACGACAGUCUUAUUCUUGUCUCUCCCAGUUCUAGGGCUCGUCCUGCCCUGAGAGGAAAAGCAGCUGUCAUUUCCUUUACAUCUGUGUGUGUAAUUGACAAGGAAAGCCAAGGAGGGAGUCUGAAGCUAGCUUUCAAUUCCUGCUUGCCCAGGCAGGGAGAAAACCAUCAGACAGGGGUGGCCCACUGAGCAGUGUUCCGUCAGGUCCAGUGCAACUUCAUUUAAGUCAGGUCCUUCCUGUUCGCACGCUCCAGGAGGCCUCAUAGCUGCUCCCUUGCUCCUCGGCCUGCCUCUGAAGGCAGGCGCUCUCUGUCCACCAACUGGCCAGUUCUGGCUGCUGCUCCCUGGGUGCUGGGGGUGCUGCCUUCUCUGCUUUGUAGGGUGAAGGGGGGAUUGUCCCUCUGCCUCCGUGGAGAGUGGGGAUCCUUCAUGCUGACACGGAGCGACCCCUGGGGAUGCUAGAAGCACAGCCUCGUUUCAUCCCCCCUGGAGGAUGUGUAGACAGCCUUGGACUUCCCUCGGGGUGUGGUGCUGGUGGUCAGGAUCCAGGAGAGCACGUCUGUGUCUCCAUCUCCAAGGAUACAACUCUGGUCCAAGCCACCUCUGCCUCUACGGGAACUACUCUCUGGAACUACUGUGUGGUUUUCUGAACUGGUUUCUCUGUGUCUCCCAGUCUUGCUUCUUUCUGUCCACUUUCCACCCCACAGCUGGCGUUCUAUAAAUGAGACCAUGACGCUUAAAAUCCUCCAGUGGCAUCCUCGCCUCAAACCACUCUGCCUUUGCUCAUGAAUUCGUCCCUGCCUCAGGCCCUUGGUCCUUGCUGUUCCCUCUGGCUGCAGAGUUGGUCACGUGUUUGGGUCUGUUUCGUUCUUCAGAUUUGUUCAAAUGUCCUCUCUUCAAGUAAAGCUUCCUUGAUCCUUAACUGUCACAUCCAUAACCCUACCUGGCCUGAGGUACCAUCUAUAACGUCAUCCUUUCUACGGUCAUCAGAGCACUGAUGAUCUGAACUCAUCUUUGUUGUGGUUGUGGCUGUUUUCGUUGUUCAUAUUCACAAAGGAAAGAUCUCGCUUGCCCGGUCGAGGACUGUUCUCCCAAUGCUUGUAACUCAGCAGCCACUCAAGAAAAUAUGUUGUUGAGUGAAUCUCUUUACAAAGCUCUAGGUUUUCAGCUAUUUAGCUGCAGCUUCUACAAUCAUUCCAAAGCCCCAUGCGGUCAGGAGUAUGACAAUGGAAAGAAGCUUCUUGAAAUCUUGUCUCUGUGGAGCUGAGGGUUUAGUUGUCUCUUGCAGGUCGGGGCAUCAGCAUCCUCAUCUCUGAUCGGAACAGUUUGAAAUGGACCAGACAAGCUCUGAUGAUCUUUCUGCUCUAAUUUUGAUGAUUUCAGUGUAAGAUCCUGUCUCUCCGGGGUCCUCCAUCCUCUCAGAUUCUGGAAUGGGAAUAAUAGCACACAGAUACAGAUGGCAUUCCAGUGGAGGCUGUGUAUUUAUGAGAUGGCUGUAUUGACUAAUCUUGCUUUUUUUUUUUGGUUUUGGAAAAAAGUUUCUCUGAUUUAGUUAUAAGUGUGAUUUAAAAAAGUUUAAAUUUUUUUUUGAGAGUAAGAGACUCAUGCGUGGGGCACAUCAGUGUUGCAUUGAAGAGUUGUGAGCCGCGUUCUUGGAGUGUGCCUGGCGGGGUCCCAUCUGGCCACAUAGGAGACGGAGCUGACUUCCCUCUUCUCCUCUCACAGGCCCGAACCUGUGGGGGCAGGAAGCUAAUUAUCACCUCCUAGGAUGCUUGGGGCCUCCUCGUGUCUUGAAAGGACUGUCCUCAUGCUGGUCCUCACAAAAGAUGAGACCCACUUGGACGAUUAUUUCCUUGGCCCCGUGCCUCUCUCUGUGCGUGAGAGCUUGAUGUGCCCAAACUUUGAUCAUGAGGCUCGUGCAGAGUUCAAUGUGGAGAGAAGUGUUGGCUGAGGAGGCCCCAAAGCCCCCCACCUGGUGGUUAUAAUGAAUGUGGGUGUCCACCCUGUGCUGAGUCCCUGCAGGGCUCUGGAAAAGGCCGCUGCAUGGAGCCCCCUCCCCACAGGUGUCAAGUCAAAGCGGGGAGUGUCACGCAUGCAAAACCUCUGCUUUACCAUGGCUCCUGUCGUCCCACCGGGCACUCAGCUGCCAGGAGGCUGAGAGGAGGUGGGUGUGGAAGGUCCAGCCUGUGUAGUCGAAGCCCUGGGAGGAUGGGGGGUGAGGGGUACCUGCCAAGAUGGAAGAUGCAGUGCCUUUGUCAGGACAGACUCAAGGCCCUCUCUCACCAAUGUGGAAACUCACACUUGGAGGGGCUGACCCUGUACUGUGCUCUGUGCCAGGCGAUCCACGCUCUCUGUCUCAUUUAGUCCUGAUGACAUCACGCAAAGCAGGAUUUUAGUUUUAAAUCACUAUUGCACAGAAAGUGCUCUUUUCAAAAGAUAAUUGUAUUGCCCAAAGUCACACAGUCAGUAUCUAGAGGGGAGACGUUCUGGUUUUCUUUUGCUGGUGACAGACAAUCACCAAACUUAGUGGUAGAAAAUGAUAGUCGUUUCUUAGGCUCACAGAUUCUGUGGGUCGGGACCUGGGGCAGAGCACGGGGGCAUCUCUGCUCCACCAGGGGCUCCAAUGACUGCAGGUGUUCUGGAAGGCUGGGCUCCUGGGACUAUUGCCAAGAGCACCUACACAUGACCUCUACAUGUGGCUUGGGCUCAUCCCAACACAGUUCCUGGUUUCUGGAGGAAGCACCCCAAGAGGGACCAUCAGAGACCAAGCAUUCCUAAAGACCAAAGCAGGAGGUACAAGGCUUCUCCUGACCUGGCAAGUCUCCUCGCAUCACUGCCUCCCUGCUCUAUGGCGGAAGCAGCCACAAAUCAGUCCCAUUUCACACGGACCCCACGGCUCCAUGGAAUGAGUGCCAAAGAAUUCAUGGCUGUGUUUUCAAACGGCCACACAGGAUUUGAAUCCAGGUCCCCUGACUCUACAGCCAUUGCCCUUCCCACUAGACAUGUUGCCUGGGUGUCGGAGGCAGUGUGUCCUGGGGGAGGCAUCAUGGAGAGGAUGUUUUCAACAUGGUUGCAUCACUAGGUCCCUAGGCCCUUUGAAAGAAAAUGCAGCCAGUAGCCUCAUGGAUUGGGAGGUGGAAUCCUGGAGUGACAGCCGGUGGCUCCACCUGUGCAGCUCUGAUGACCUGCUGCAGCUCUCGUGCCUUGGGUUUUCCUCUAUGAGAAGGGGACAGUCACAGCAUCUCCCAGCCCAUGUGUAGGAUUCAGCGCCCAGGGCAUGUGAAAGCCUGGAGGACUUUCCAACCCUCUCUGCAGACAGGAGGGAGGCCUCUGUAUCCACGAGGAGGUCCUGCCGCCCGGCCUUCAGCUGGCUGCUCGCAGACACACUCAGUGGGGAAGCCAGCCUUCCAGCCCCCCAGAAUCCCAGAAGCCUAAGCAGACCCCCUCUGACUAUGGGGUCUUUUUCUUCCUUGAUUAUCUACAAAUAUCGUGCGUAACAAUGUACAUAAAUGUUGUUCUUUUGCCAAUUCAUCGCCUCCUGGAAAGUGUGAUAAACAUGCAGUCACCAUAUCCUCUUGAAGUCUUGGCCCCACUGAGUACUAGGUGAGUAACCAUACAUAUGUCUUGCAGUCUCUUAGGACCCUAGUUUUCUGCAAAGCAACGAUCAGUGUCUCUGUUUCUCAAGAAUGUUAUGAGAUUCAAUGAGCUGAUAGGAAAAAGUGUUUUCUAAUCCGAUAAGUGUAAAAUAUGUUACAAGUUUUUGUUAAGAUCAUUUCCUCCAGCACUUAGCAAGCGGAGUGCUUCACCCACAGCAAGUGCUCAAUAAAUAUGUACACUUUAGCCUUGAUUUACUCCAGACCCCAAAUGAAGUUCGUGUCAGAAGGCGAUUGGAGCGUUCAUCUCCCGUCCUACUUGGGGAUACACAUCACGGAAGCCCUUCCGUAUGGAUUGGCCGCACUGUGCUUUUUUCAAGAAAAAAUAACUGACCGUCAGUUUAAUUGAAUAGCUGAGGACCACAGCCCCCACUCCAGGCUCUCGCUCCAGGGCCAAAUCGGUGCGGGAAGGACAGUCUGCGCCUGUGAUGGGGGCUCCUCCUCCAGGAGACUCUGGAGGCUGAAUAAAUUUUUGCAGCAACUCACUUCAUCCAUGAGAGACUCAAUAACCUUUAUCUAGGAAAUGCAUUGGAACAGUCCUCCACACAUCGGGCCUCUGCAGAAAGAGUGACCAGGACAAACUCGCGAGAGACCAGUCGUAGUACGGGGCCCAUUUCUGAAUGUUUUCCAUCGGCUCCAUUUUUAUUGUAAUCAAUGGCCCUGUGUUUUCAGCAGCAGGCGGUGUUAGGCUCCCGCUGUGUGCUCAGUGCUGUUUUAGACGCUACGGGGACCACAGAUAGAAGAAGCUGUCCGUGCAUUGAUGAGAGGCGUUUUGGCGUGUGUGCUGAGAAUCUUUCUGAGCACUACACUGACUGCACGUAAAGACCAGACCACGAGGCUGGGCACAGGUGUCAGGGCUGGGCUUGUGAAGAGGGAACAGCCCAGGCAGUCAGCGACUGAGUUGUGUUUAGUUCAAUUCCCUCUAACUAGCUAUGCAGCGUUGGGCAAGUUGCUUAGCCAGUGCGAGUCUCCUUGUCUUACCUGUUAAAUGGGCUCAAACAGAAGGAGAGAAUCCACUGGGAGCUGGAGAGUAAAGUUUCGAACUCAGCUAAUCCAGUAAACAGUUAUUGGGCUCCUUUGAAGGAAAGAUGAGAGGAAACUGCCUUGGAUGGUGUUUUGAUGAUCUGUUGCUGCCUAAAAAUCUGCCCCCAAACUUAGCGGCUUGAACAACCACCAUUUAAUGAUAUCCCACAAUUCCAUGGGUUGACUGGGUCUCAACUGGCUGGUUCCUCUACUGUAUGUCUUGAGAUUUCUCAUGAACUUGCCGUCAGAUGGGGCUGGACCCUCGGCCCCAUCUCUGCCUCCAUGUGGCCUCUAUCUCCAUGUGGCUUGUCAUCCUCGGGGUUCUCUCCGUAUGGCCUCUCUCUCUACCCUGGACUUUUUACAGGGUCAGCCUUGGGGCUCCACGUGGAGGAGUUGGAACUGGUCAGGCUUUCUCAAUGCCUGGACUCGCAAGUCUCAGGACGUCGCUUCCCCCACCUUCUAGUGGUCAAAGCAGUAACAGGCCCAGACCAGACUCCAGGGGAGGGGUGCAAGUUCUAUCUCUCGAGAGGAUUGCAGAGAGAUUUGGGGCAAUCUUAAGUGUCCCCAAGCACCAGCUCUGAGCCCUUCCCCAGCAGGCUUUUGGUGAUGGGGGAUGUGCAAGUCACAGUUUUGGAAGACCCAGUGCUGACAGGGAGGUGGGUGGAACCACCACCCAACAGGUGCAGCUCUGUGGCACGAAGGCCUUCAAAUUUGACUUUGUCAGGGCUGCUAGCGUUUUCUAGGCUUUCAAGGAUUUAUUCACAUAAACAAACCUCACAGGAGACAGUUGUGUGACCUAGACUAUUGAUGCGUUUAUCUACAAUGCUACAUUUACUUUUCCCUCAACAUAACGUCUGGGAGGCUGAAUUCUUCCUCAGACCAUUUCAGCCCUGGGCUCAGGCAAGGAGCAUAAGGAUUCCUGGGGAAAGUCUUAUUCAGGGUGGAAUAACGCUGCAGAACCAUCCCAACCUAGAGUCUCCUGGACCCUUCUCUGACUUGUGGCUUUUGCCCUCUCUUUUCCAAGGACCAUGUAGAUCCUGCUUCUGCUCAUAUUUUUUCUUCAGCUAUAUCAAUACUAUUGAUAAAGGUAUAGAUUAUCAUAUUGAGGCAAGUCUUGGUCAAAUUUGAACAUCGUAUUCUUUCUGCUUUGACUUGAGAGGAUUCAGACGUUUGAUGGUGACUCACAGAUAACUCAUGGCCCUCAUCCAGUGUCAGCUUCAUUAGAGUAACUCACUGCCAAGCUCAGGGAAUGGGUUAGGGCCGUGAGGGCUUCCUGUGCAUCACUGUGGGGGAGACGGGAGCUCCAACAACAAGCCACAGCCCAGGGUGAGUGUGAUAAGUGCCAGCACUUGACAAAUAUAGUGACAGUACAGCAUGCAAGAGGGACACAUUUGUUUCAAUUGGUCCAACCUGGGAGGACUUUAAUGAGGAUUGUAUGGAAGAGAUAUCUGGACAGAAUUAUGAAACCUGGCUUUUUGAGGGUUAUGGAAAAGGACAAAGAAAGCAGGAAGGUGGACUGACACAUGGCAUUUAGGAAACAUGGGUAGAUGAGUAUGAACUAUAAAGGGUCGUAGAUACUGAAGUUGUAACAAUUGGUGUGAUUAUUUGUUGCGUCUUGUUUUGAAUUUCCCAACUAAGGUGGAUGUUCCUUGAAGGUCGAGACCAUGUAUUAUACUGAAGUUUCUUGGCACAGAUUUUUAAAAAUAAGAUGAGAUAGCAAGGUGAUGGACACUCAAGGGGAGACAGAUGUGUAGUCGGCAGACUCAUGGCCCCCAAGAGGAGUCUAUGAUCUAAUUCCUAGGGCUGUAAAUAUGAUGAGAUGCCACAUCUAUGAAUAUGUUACCUUACAGGGAAAAAGGGACUUUGCAGAUAGAAUUAAGGUUAGUAAUCAGUGACUUUAAGAUAAGAAGAUUAUCCUGGAUCAUCUGGGUGAACUGAUUGUAAUUGCAUGAGUCCUUAAAAGCAGAGGGAGAAGGGGAAGUCAGAGAUUCAAAACAUAAGAAACACUCAACAAGCAUGUUGGCCUCAUGUGCCAAGGAAAUGGGACCUCAGUCCUACAACCACAAGAAACUGCCAAUAACCUGAAUGAGCCUAGAAGUGGGUUCUCCCCAUGACCCUCCAGACAAGACCCCAGGCUGGCCAACCAAUACCUUGACUUUGGUCUCAUGAGCUUCUGAGCAGAGAACCCAGUCAUGCUGUGCUGGAUGUCUGACCCACAGAAACCAUGAGAUAAUAAAUGUAUGCUGUUUUAAGCCACUAAAGUUGCUGUAAAUUUUUACAGUGGUGUUAGGAAACUAAUGGAGAUGACACGUUUUCUCCUCCUCCUCUGUCUCUUUCCCUUUUCCUCUUCUCCUCCUCUUGUCCAGCUGAGGUUCUCUGCAGCCUUCAGCGGGAGGCGGAUACCAGAGGAGUGUUGCCGUCUUACCUAGAAGAGACGGGCGGUGGAGGCAAGAUUGUUCAGGGAGUUGGGUUGAAUGUGGGGCUCGUGCCUGCUAAGCUAAGCUGUUGGAGACACCCCGGAAAUGGCUUCCUUCCACAGGAGGACUCCUGGGCUGCUUUCACGCCUUUAUCAGCUUGGGGUGCCUGAGCAGAAAUUGGCAUUCUGCAAGCUCAUCCUCGGCUCAUAUCUCAUCCUCCUUCCUCUCCUUUGCUUCUUGCUCACUGUGCAAAAGUUCCUCCCCACAGGGUGCCUUGAAGAUGAAGUGGAAUCGUCAUUCACACUUCCUUAAGAAAUCCCUUUUUUGGAGACUGUCUUAACUUGGUCAGAUUUUGAGAAUUAGCACUAACAUAUGGAUGUGUUUUAUUCAGUCCUGGUGGAGUUUGCAGACCUCCUCAAGAGGAAGUUUGUUAACUCCAAUGUUUUUUUCAUUACCCAGGUAUAGUAUUUUAUUUAUUCCUUUCUUCCUUUAGUUAGCAUUGGGAAGGUUUUUGUUGUUCUUCGCCUUUUACGAAACAAUCACUUCUCCAUUUGGUUGAUGCAUUCUGUAAGGCACAAAGCCAGCGCCUCUGUGAAGUCUUUCUUGAUUCGUGACUUGUCACUCCCACCUAUUUUUGUACGUCCCAUGGACAUCAUUCUUAUCAGGCCAUAUUGAGUUCUCGGUAGAUGUGUUCCCUCCCCUUCUGGAUUGAGGGUCCCUAUGUGUCUUGUCUCUCCAGCAUCCAGGAUAAUGGGGGAGCCCAGGGGCUGCUCGGUGAAAGGAUGGGAAAGGAGCAAUGAAUGCAGAGGCAGCCUGCUAAAACGCAGACAGAUGGGACCUGCCAGAUUGCAGAAAGCAGCUGCGUGUGAGGCAUAAAAACCAAAGCAGUUAAUUAAAAACAUUUUUAUUUGACCUGAUUAAAAAGAAGUAAAGGCUGUGAGACGUUUCUACUGAGGAAUUAAGGAGGAUAGGAGUCAAGUGGAGGGCAAAUAUGCACUCUGGGAAGGGGAGAGGCCAAGGAACCAGGAGUUCUCUGCUGGAGUCUUAGCAUGGCCACUGGCACAUGGUGACCUUGGGCCUUGGACUUUCCACCCAAGGUGACGAGGAUUUUGCAUUCCCUGAGGACUGAGAGCUCUUUCACCAGGCAUCGAUUGUGCUGGCUGAGCAGGCCAGGAAGAGCAGUCACUGUUAACACCGCGCCUGAGCUGGAUGGAGUCUAAUCCAGGAUCAAGGUCCGAUUCCAUUGCCAUCUCCACGAAGCAUGCCUGAUCACUCACCUGGAAUUGCAUCUCUCCACUGAACAAAGAUUUCAUCUGCUUCUUCAAAUCUA